rnacentral:rRNA from 1 species
GACGAACGCUGGCGGCGUGCUUAACACAUGCAAGUCGAACGCGCCUGUCCUCUGGGUUUCUGGGGGUGGGUGAGUGGCGAACGGGUGAGUAACACGUGAGUAACCUGCCCCCUUCUUCGGGAUAACGGUCUGAAAGGGCUGCUAAUACCGGGUAUUCACUGGUCUCCGCAUGGGGUCUGGUGGAAAGGUUUUUUUCUGGUGGGGGAUGGGCUCGCGGCCUAUCAGCUUGUUGGUGGGGUGAUGGCCCACCAAGGCUUUGACGGGUAGCCGGCCUGAGAGGGUGACCGGUCACAUUGGGACUGAGAUACGGCCCAGACUCCUACGGGAGGCAGCAGUGGGGAAUAUUGCACAAUGGGCGCAAACCUGAUGCAGCGACGCCGCGUGAGGGAUGGAGGCCUUCGGGUUGUGAACCUCUUUCGCCCGUGGUCAAGCCGCGACGUGGGUCGUGGUGAGGGUAGUGGGUAAAGAAGCGCCGGCUAACUACGUG